ensembl:lncRNA
AAAGCAAGUCCAGGAGGGAGAGGCAGGUCGUGAGGAAUCUGUCGUCAGAAACCCACUUUUAUCCUUCUUCCCUGCCUACGUGACAUUCCUGGGCGCCUGGAGUUUUCAACAGCUUUUCUUAUGCAGGAAGAAAAAGAAUGAAUUGCAACGUCAACAGAACAACAGUCCUAGUGUUCAGAGGAGUAAUGUCCUAGUUUCCCACUGACACUAUUAUCUUGGAUCUGAAGGCCAGAUAGAUUUUGAAGCAAACACUGGGAAAUGUACCUUCAGGGAUUUGAUAAACCUACAGGACUUCCAUGGUUGCAUCCAGACUACUAUGGCUGACUGAAGAAGAUGGAAAUCAAAGCAAUGGUUUAGCUGGUCUAAAUCCAUUAGUUAGAGAGGUAAUACAUGAGCUGCUCUAUACCUGAAUUUAUACUUGACAAGCAAGGUAUUUGCUGCUGUACUCCUGAAAUAAGUUGUCAUACUGACAAGCAUGCUUGUCAUUGAUUUUUAUUUCAGAAAGAAACAUAGUCUUGGCCUCCAUGUGUGUAAAGCAAUAUAAUCACAGCCACGAGGCUGUGCAGCAUUUUGAUAUCAUAUAUAGUGAACUACAAUUUGAAUCUCAGAAAUUAGCUUCUGUUUUAUAUCACUAUGCACACAGAUAAGCACAGCUUAAAAGAAUGCAUGUGCACCAAUCACCUGCAAUAUUCUAAAAUCAGUUAUCUGCUUGAAAAUAAUAUAUUCAUCUACUGCCCAGAAGUCUUCAAGCUUGAAUACAGAUUCUGAAUUAAAGCUGACAUUGAAACACAUGAGAAAAAAAAAAAUAUUUCUAUCCAUGAGACCAACUGGAUUUUAAACGUGAUCCAAGUGGAAGCAGCUAUCAUCUUUAGUAGCUUUAAAUCAAUUUAAUGUUGUUACAAAUAUAAGUGAGAGGAUUUAUGGAAAAAAAAUGCUGUGAGGAAAUGAAAUAUAUUCUGUUUCUGGAGUUCUGAGCCACAGAAAGUUCCACCACUUUUAACCCCCUCAGACUGAUGUCUGAGGUACAAAUUGACAGUGGGGUCACAGAGAGAUGCAGCAGCAUUUUCUUUUCCCUGGAUCAUCCUCUGGUGUACAAGAGAGAAUGUGGAGACUGAGGAAAUCAACUGCUGCAAUAAGAAAAAUUCUGAUGAGAUAUUAAAAAAAAAAAAUUAUCAUGAAGAUUUUCAAAGACUGUCAAAGGUUGUCCUGGGAUGUCAUAGAAUCUCUUUCUUUGGAGAUAUUCAGAACUCAACUGAAUAUGAAACUUGAUCUAAAAUGACCACAUUUUGGGCACGAGUAGACAAUAUCAGUGGAUUCCUCCCAUUCUAAACUAUACAAACUCACUGAACCAUGUCAGACUCUACUGUUCUUAUUUUUUUUUUUCCCAGCAUAGCUCAAAAAUGAUGUAUUUUAGGAAAAAAAAAUUAUCAUUGUAAUACAGUUCACUCUGAGUUCUCUCAUGGUGUAUGUUGAAAAAAAAUGGUAUUAAUAGAUUAAAAAAACUUUCCACUUGAAUACAUAUUAAAUUUGUGUGCUAAGAUUUGCAUC